rnacentral:misc_RNA from 1 species
GAUGAAGAACGCAGCGAAAUGCGAUAAGUAAUGUGAAUUGCAGAAUUCAGUGAAUCAUCGAAUCUUUGAACGCACAUUGCGCCCGCCAGUAUUCUGGCGGGCAUGCCUGUUCGAGCGUCAUUUCAACCAUCAAGCCCCCGGCUUGUGUUGGGGACCUGCGGCUGCCGCAGGCCCUGAAAACCAGUGGCGGGCUCGCUAGUCACUCCGAGCGUAGUAAUACAUCUCGCUCAGGGCGUGCUGCGGGUUCCGGCCGUUAAAAAGCCUUAUUUACCCAAGGUUGACCUCGGAUCAGGUAGGAAGGCCCGCUGAACUUAAGCAUAUCAAUAAGCGGAGGA